UACCUGUGUUACGACGGUUAUGUAGGUCAGAUACAUGAAAAUGUCGCCUGACAGCAAGAAAAAUAGACUAUUAUUAGGUUUAAUUUGAUACAGAAUUGAGGAUCUGGAUUGUAUAUAGGGCCUAAUCUUGUAGAAAUAUUCCAUGUAGCCGCUAUCAUCAAGAUGAAGACGAUCUGUAGUAAUAUAGUAGGCCUAUAUUAUUUGUGUGUAUUAACCACAUGGAGAUGCAUCCUAUCUUUAGAAUGUGAAAAUGGAAAAGUUUAUGAAUUGUUUGCACCAUAUGAUAAGGUUGAUGAUCCAAUGUAUAUCACGUCUCCAGAUUAUCCCAACUACUAUCCACCGAAUGUUAUAUGUGGAUUCUAUUUUAAAACCGAAGAGAAAAAUCAGAUAGUUUCUGUGUUAGUAGAAGAUAUAGCAAUAGGGAAUCCAGGCUCAUGUGAUUACGACAAGUUACUAGCAUUUGAUGGACCAACAAAUGAGUCUAAGUUAUUGGGAAGUUCUUGUUUUAAUAAAGUCAGGUUUGAGAGUAGUGGUAAUUACAUGUAUGUACAGUUUCAGUCCGAUAGAUUCGUAUCAUCCCGAGGGUUUAAAGCCAGAUAUUAUGCCCUUCUUCAUGAUGAUAAUUACAAGCUUUCAGGAGGUGCUAUAGCUGGUAUAUGUCUUGCAGUGAUUGUUUUCUUGAUUUGUGCUAUUGUGUUUAGUUUAUGGGGCAGUGUAAAAAGACUGUAUAAAAGAUGCUGCAGAAAGAAUCAGUCCAGCAAUGAUGAGCUCCCUUCUCGAACUUUCUCAUCAUUUCAUUCGCUGGAGAACAGGAGGAAUGACCUACCACCGCCCGGUUUCUCGGCUAGCCAAUUAUCAAACCACCAACCGACUCUCGCCCCACCGCCUUACGAGUCCGUGGACUAUUCAGCAGACCUGCCCCCUCCCCCUAGUUAUGACGAAGUUAUGUUUGAUAGCUAUAGCUAUUCUACGUCAGAACAGCCACCAGCAGCUUCCCCCGGGCCCAUUUAUAAAUAAACAAUGUUUCCAGUGGCGGACACAAGAAAUUUGGAGGAUUUCCCUUCACCCCACCCAAGGUAAGCCUCUGGGGUCGGAGACAUAUAAACCAAGGAACAGCCACCAGCAGCUUCUCCCGAGCCAUUUUAUAAAUAAACAAUGUUUCCAGUGGCGGACACAAGAAAUUUGGGGGAUUUCCCUUCCCUCGAAGGAAGCCUAGGGGGUCGGAGAAAAAUUGUACAUACAAACCAAGGAAUUUUCCUUACCCUCUAUACUUCGGUCCUUGGUGUUUCAAAAAGUCUGAUUUAUUAAUAAAAAAUGUUUCCAGCGACGUACCAGAUGUAGAAUAUCUGAUUAGGAAAAUUCAGAAGAUUUUUAUUCCCCAGAUUAAGAGGUACUCUGUGGUCCUCUUCCGAGAAAAUUGGUAAAUUUGGUUAGGGUAAACCAAGUGAUUUCCCUAUCCCCAACUUUGGGGUCCUUGUCUUAGAAAAUUUUGUAAAAUUGGGGUAUCAAUGUUGAUUUUUAUCCGCCACUGCUGUUUCCAAAAGACCAGGCCCCAAGUUCACAAAGCAUUCUCAGACUUCAGUUAAGAAUUUACUCAACUUUCAGUCAGUGUUUAUGAGAAAUAUCUUGAUACAAUAAAAUAUUUGAUACAAUAAAACAAUAAAAGUUUUAUAAAGGGCUAUAAGGCGAACAAUUUUGAGUAAAUUCUUAACUUAAAGAUACAUUAUGGGAGAUAAGAUAAAGAGAUGGCAGUUCUCGCUAUAAUAGUUAAAAACUAGAUAGUGUAAAGGUAAUUUGCUGAAAAUUUCAGUCAAAUUGAUCCACUAUGAGCCGAGAAAGAAGACGGUGAAAUUUUUGCAUAGUCUCGGUUAUCAUUACUAAAAUCAUUAAUAUAAACAGCAUAGUCUCGAUUAUCCACUUUUUCUGAUUUAAUUAUCUUUUGCCGUAAGCGGCAUAUAGGAAUCUAAUCCAGCCUACAUCGAAGGCUAGCCUUGACAUCGAGAGUUUAUUAUGGUCUGGAUAAGUUAAUUAAUGUCUAAUUGAUAAUUUAGAUAACAUUUCAGGCCUAAAGAAAGACUUGUAAUAAGCAGAUUUUGCUCUUGCAUAAUGCAUGUUUAAGUCUGAGAAUGUUUUGUGAACUCAGGGCCUGAAACAACAAGAGUACAAUAUGUAAAUACAUGUAUAUUGAAAGUUAUAAAUAAUUUUAUUAUAAUUUAUUUCAAUGCAUAUUAGGUCAAAGUCUCAUUGUACACUUAAUACAUGUUAGGUCAAAGGCCAAUAUAGUACACUCAAUACACUUAUGAUAAUAAUGAUCUACUAGGGCUGUCCCAAGGCUCAAAUUUGGUGUAUAAGUGUAGCUUGGACCAAGAAGUAACAUAGGCCUGGUGAUGUCGGACUACCGCUUCUGGUUUCAGAGUUAUACAUUUUUCGGUUCCGGGCACAACCUUUGCAGCACCAGGUCAUCCGCUAGUAAUCAUAUAAAUGAUAGUACACUCAAUAUACGUUAGCUCAUGAUAGUACACUCAAUACAUGUUAGCUCAUGAUGAUAUAAAUGAUAGUACACUCAAUACAUGUUAGCUCAUGAUGAUAAUGAUAAUACACCCAAUACAUGUUAGCUCAUGAUGAUAAUGAUAUAUAUGAUAGUACACUCAAUACAUGUUAGCUCAUGAUGAUAGUACACUCAAUACAUGUUAGCUCAUGAUGAUAUAAAUGAUAGUACACUCAAUACAUGUUAGCUCAUGAUGAUAAUGAUAUAUAUGAUAGUAAACUCAAUACAUGUUAGCUUAUGAUGAUACACUCAAUAAAUGUUAGCUCAUAAUGAUAAUGAUAAUACACUCAAUACAUGUUAACUCAUGAUGAUAAUAAUAUAAAUGAUAUUACACUCAAUACAUGUUAGCUUAUGAUGAUAUAAAUGAUAGUACACUCAAUACAUGUUAGCUCAUGAUGAUAAUAGUAUAAAUGAUAUUACACUCAAUACAUGUUAGCUCAUGAUGAUAUAAAUGAUAGUACACUCAAUACAUGUUAGCUCAUGAUGAUAAUACACCCAAUACAUGAUAGCUCAUGAUGAUAUAAAUGAUAGUACACUCAAUACAUGUUAGCUCAUGAUGAUAAUAAUAUAAAUGAUAUUACACCCAAUACAUGUUAGCUUAUGAUGAUAAUAAUAUAAAUGAUAAUACACUCAAUACAUGUUAGCUCAUGAUGAUAUAAAUGAUAAUACACCCAAUACAUGUUAGCUCAUGAUGAUAUAAAUGAUAGUACACUCAAUACAUGUUAGCUCAUGAUGAUAAUAAUAUAAAUGAUAGUACACUCAAUACAUGUUAACUCAUGAUAAUAUAAAUGAUAAUACACCCAAUACAUGUUAGCUCAUGGUGAUAUAAAUGAUAGUACACUCAAUACAUGUUAGCUCAUGAUGAUAAUAAUAUAAAUGAUAUUACACUCAAUACAUGUUAGCUUAUGAUGAUAUAAAUGAUAGUACACUCAAUACAUGUUAGCUCAUGAUGAUAUAAAUGAUAAUACACCCAAUACAUGUUAGCUCAUGAUGAUAUAAAUGAUAGUACACUCAAUACAUGUUAACUCAUGAUGAUAAUAAUAUAAAUGAUAUUACACUCAAUACAUGUUAGCUUAUGAUGAUAAUAAUAUAAAUGAUAGUACACUCAAUACAUGUUAGCUCAUGAUGAUAAUAAUAUAAAUGAUGAUACACUCAAUGCAUUAUUGAAAUUAACAUUUAUUUAUUAUGUAUCAGUUCAAUCCAUUGGAUUCUAUUGUACAAUUUCAUUAUUCAAUUUAUCAUACCCAUACGCAGUUUCAUUAUUCAAUUUUAUCAUAGACAAUUACAUUAUUCAAUUUAUCAUACGCAGUUUCAUUAUUCAAUUUAGUAGACACUAUAACAUUAUUCAAUUUAUCAUACACAAUUACAUUAUUCAAUUGAUCAUACACAGUUUCAUUAUUCAAUUGAUCAUACACAGUUUCAUUAUUCAAUUUAUUAGACACUAUAACAUUAGUCAAUUUAUCAUACACAAUUUCAUUAUUCAAAUUAUCAUACACAUUAUCAUCUUUCAAUUUAUCAUACACAAUUUUAUUAUUCAAUUUAUCAUACGCAGUUUCAUUUGAUUGUAGGCAGUUUCAUUAUUCAAUUUAUAAUACACAUUUUCAUCAUUCAAAUUAACAUACACAAUGCCAUUAUUCAAUGGCAUAAUUUCUGUAUCUACUUUAUCAUACUAUAUGCUGUACAAUGAUUUAUUGAAUUUAUCAUACGCAAUUUUAUAAUUCGAUUUGUCCAAACAUAAUUUCCAUUCUCAGUUAUUAUGCAUUUUUGUUUCUUCAUUUGAUUUGAUAUUAUUGUAUCUGUAAGAUAAUUUUGGAAUUGGUCCAUUUUAUAUUGUGGACUGUGGGUAUGGGUUUUCUUCAGGUCCCCCUCCUUAAGGUACCUACGUACAAUCAAAUUAUUGAAAUAAAAUUGUACUAUAUAUAUUUAUAUGUUAGUCCCAAUAUGACCUAGUUUCUCCCACUUUAUUUUUUGAUAAAUCUUUGACAAAAUAGGUUUAAAUUGUAAAGAACGUUAUAAACGCUUACAAAGCGGCCAGCGGUCACUGUUUUAGUUAUAAAUGUAACCUACCUUCGCCCAUUCAACGGCCAUUAAAUUGUUGAUGCCUUGUAUAUAUUGUUUUUGUAAAUAAUAUAAUCCAUUGUUUAUUGGGUAUUGUGGUUUAAAUGUACAUAUAUUGUAUCAUCAUAUUUUAUAUUUUAUCUUAGCUGCAAUAUUUGUAGCCAUGAUAAUACUUAUUCACAGCUACAAUUGAUGCACUAUUCGAGGCUUUGAGCAAGUAAAAUUAGGUUCAAUUGCAAAAUUUUCAACACAUAUCAUUAUAGUUUGCUUGAAAAUAAGUAAUUAUGUUACAAAUAGUGAAGAGUGGAACACUGAAAUCUUAAUCUUAUCUUCCCGAACAGUUUUUCUGUAUUUACGAGUGACAUAAAUUCACGUGAUUCUGGUUCGGCGGCCAUUUUAAAAUGAACGGAAAUUUCGCAUAGCAGUUGGGUUUAAUCAUUUCAUAUUAUGCGGUAAAAUUUCACCUUUAUUUCAAUUGGUUUAUUAUAUGUUAAGCUAAUUGGAUAUUAAGGGAGUUAUAGGCUAGUAACUUUUUUGUAGUCAAAUUGUCCACUUCUGUUGCUGGAGCAAGACGGAAGAAAUCAGUAGUGGAACCAUUUCUAAUUUUAUCAUUGCUUGGUAAAGUUUACCCAAGGCUAUAGUCUGUUUCUGUUUUCUGGGUCUUGAUAAAUAAAUAGCCCCCUUAAUAACAGAAAGGCAAUCUGAUUAAAACACAGAUCCUAUUUCGUUUCGUUUUUAUGGUUCAAAAUUUCGUUUUACUUGUAUUCAAUGCACUAGGAUCUGGAAGAGUUGUUAUAAUUAAAGUGUUCUGAAUGGUGUGAGGUAUUAGCCAAUUAAACGGUCUGUUACGGUGAGCUUUAGGCGUGUUUUGCACGGAACUGUGGGUAACCCACUAGUAACAUCAAUGCUGAUUGGUUAAUCAAAUGUCUGACGUCAUAGGGUCAAAAGCCGCUCGUAUGACCUCUGACGCGACCUAUCGCUACAACCGGCCAGAUCUUCAUGUAGUGUAAGCCAUCAAAGUAUAACAAACAAAACGAAAUAUAGAUCUGUAUUUUAACCUGAUUGCACGACAGGUGUCUUGUUUAAGAUUGCAAAAAUUAUAAAUUUGAAACAGUAGGCUACAGACAAGUAUUUUUGGUUUUCAAAUGUCUUUUUUUACGAAGAAAUAUGAAGAAACAUUUUUACAGAUGUUUGUGAAGAACAGAAAAUCAAAUGGCCGGGUCGUAUGGUUUUGUAGCUCGCAAACCACCUGCAAGAAACCGGGUAAAAAUUUUGUAUGUGCAAAACCAAAAGUCUCUACUGCCAGUCUGUGAUCUUCUAUGGGACCGAACACACACAUCUGACGUGUCCGUCUCAUGCACGGGUUAAAGACUUGGCAAGCGGAAUUUUUCCCAUCCGUAUCGUCAAGUGCUUAAUACAAACAAUUGACGUGACGCGCAAAAUCGAUACGGAUACGGACCAGGAAUUUACGCUUGCCAAAAGUCUCUACUAAAAUUUCCCCCAUAUACUGCCCGUAGUAGGACAUACGGCGGGUCGUGGGCUAGGCUUUAAUUGUACCAUUGCUUGAUAACAACUGAAGCAUCCUAGUCAAAACGUCGCCAAAUCAUUAAUUGUGAAUAUUUGUACCAUUGCUUGAUCAAGACUAAUCAGAAAUUGCAAACCAUAUUUAGAAUUGUGCCCUGUAUAUUUGUACCAUUGCUUGACAAAGACUAAUCAGAAAUUGCAAACCAUAUUUAGAAUUGUGCCCUGUGUAUUUGUACCAUUGCUUGACAAAGACUAAUCAGAAAUUGCAAACCAUAUUUAGAAUUGUGCCCUGUGUAUUUGUACCAUUGCUUGAUAAAGACUAAUCAGAAAUUGUAUACCAUAUUUAGAAUUGUGCCCUGUUUAUUUGUACCAUUGCUUGAUAAAUAUGGCGGGAUUUAAAGUGAAAGUGUACAAGUAGCUCAGUCACUUAUAUUCUUUUGUUUUAUAUGGCGGUAUAUUAGAUUCAAAAUUCUAAAUUUGUUAAUGUCGUUCUAUGGUCUAAGUUUUAACUUCUAUUUAUGUAAUUUCUAACAAUGUAUAAUCCGAUUUCUUUAUUUGUUCAGGGUAAUCUUUUUAUUUUAAUUCUAUUUCAUCUUAUUACUACCCGGUAUUAUUCAGACGAAAAAUGUCUAGCAUGAACAUCGAAACAAUUUAGAAUUUUGACAUUUCUAAUUAGCAACCAUCACUAUGAAAUUGGAUUAUAAAUUGUCCUACGUUUAGAAAGUACACGAAUAGAAGUUAGAAAUUAAACAAUAGCACGACUUUAACAAAUAUAGAAUUUUGAAUCUAAUAUACCGCCAUAGUUUUAUGUGUGCAUGAUGUCGUAAUGUAAUCUAUGUUAUAUCCGUUGUAAAAACCGCAGUGCAGUCAAACUGUCUGGAUAUUCAGCGUUCUAGAAUUAUUAUUUAUUAUAAGGGUUGUCGCAUUGUUAACAUUUAUCUUGUCUCAAGUUUUUCAUAGAUAUAAAUAUGAAUCUACGUACAUGUUAAUAUAGUGAUAUGAUAUGAUUGACUGAAGAAUUUAUAAUAUUUUUAUUAUAGGACAGCUGUAUGAAAUAAAUCAUAUAUAUGUAUAUAUA